AUAAAGCAAACCGUUACUCUGAAUGGACAAGGCAAGGGCUUUUACCAGAUCAAUAGCAAAGACACGGCCAUGCACACACAGAGGAAGUCAGCCAGUCUCGGUGACCUUUUCAUGAACUUUCUAGGAGAUGGCAGAUCAUUCAAAGGGGCAAAGAUGAGGCAAACUGGUUUAGUGACUUGUCCAGGGUCACACAGAUUAUGGCAUGCAGUCAGGAGGCUGGUCCAUUCAAUUAGUACAUCUCAUAUGGGAGACAUAUAGUGCAGAUGGACAAUGAGCUGGACAGAGAUUGGAAAAAGAGAACCAGAGUAAGCUGGACUGUAUUUUGGAAAUUACGGAGUAGUUUAGUGAUCCCAAGCUGUUUUCUGACACAAAGAAUUCAUUCUUUUAAUAAAAUUGGUCUUCUAAUGAUGCUGUACGGUUGUGAAUCUUGGAACACCAUAAUCCUCAAAGAUUCAAAGGGUAGAUAAGCCAAAGACCAGUA